GAAAGUAAGCAAGGGCAGACGGUGGAUGCCUUGGCUCUCGGAGGCGACGAAGGACGUGAUAAGCUGCGAAAAGCCCGGGGGAGGCGCAAAUAGCCGUUGAUCCCGGGAUAUCCGAAUGGGGCAACCCGGCAGGCUGAAGGCCUGUCAUCCCGUAAGGGAGGCGAACGUGGGGAACUGAAACAUCUAAGUACCCAUAGGAGGAGAAAAUAAACAAUGAUUCCGUAAGUAGUGGCGAGCGAACACGGAAGAGCCCAAACCCGUGGCGUCUAGGCGACACGGGGGUUGUAGGACCACGACGUGGCAAGAUAGAGUCAAGUGGAACGCCUUGGAAAAGGCGGUCAUAGAGGGUGAAAACCCCGUACACGACUGACGAUUGAAGCCUAGUGGUAUCCUGAGUAGCGCGGGGCACGAGAAAUCUUGCGUGAAACAGCGGGGCCCAUCCCGUAAGGCUAAAUACUCCCGAGAGACCGAUAGCGAACCAGUACCGUGAGGGAAAGGUGAAAAGAACCCCGAGCAGGGGAGUGAAAUAGACCCUGAACCCGUCUGCCUACAAGCGGUCGGAGCGUUGUUAUGACGUGACGGCGUGCCUUUUGCAUAAUGAACCUACGAGUUACCUUCCCCGGCAAGGUUAAGUACCUAAGGUACGGAGCCGAAGCGAAAGCGAGUCUGAAGAGGGCGGCCAGUCGGGGGGGGUAGACGCGAAACCGAGUGAUCUACCCUUGGCCAGGUUGAAGGUUGGGUAACACCAACUGGAGGACCGGAUGGGUAAGCGUUGAAAAGCUUUCCAAUGAGCUGAGGGUAGGGGUGAAAGGCUAAUCAAACUCGGAGAUAGCUCGUACUCCCCGAAAUGCAUUUAGGUGCAGCCUCUUUAUAGUAUAUCGUGAGGUAGAGCGACUGAUUGGAUGCGAGGGCUUCACCGCCUAUCAAGUCCAGAUAAACUCCGAAUGCGCGAUAUAUAUUUACAGGGAGUGAGGGCGCGGGUGCUAAGGUCCGUGUCCGAGAGGAGAAGAAUCCAGACCACCGGCUAAGGCCCCCAAAUGAUCGUUGAGUUGAACUAACGAGGUCGGAUCGCAGAGACAGCUAGGAUGUUGGCUUGGAAGCAGCCAUUCAUUUAAAGAGUGCGUAACAGCUCACUAGUCGAGCGAUCUGGCGUGGAUAAUAAUCGGGCAUAAACGAUCUGCCGAAGCCGUGGAUGUCGUAAGACAUGGUAGGGGAGCAUUCCAUGCGGCGUCGAAGAUGAGGGACGACCCUUGUUGGAGCGCAUGGAAAAGCAAAUGUAGGUAUGAGUAACGAUAAGGGGGGCGAGAAACCCCCCCGCCGAAAGACCAAGGUUUCCUGAUCAACGCUAAUCGGAUCAGGGUGAGUCGGGACCUAAGGCAAAGCCGAACGGCGCCGCCGAUGGAAGAAUGGGUUAAUAUUCCCAUACUGCCUCAUGGAGUGACGUGGAGACGGAGAAGUGACAGUCCUGCCGGCUGACGGAAUAGCCGGUUGAAGGGUGUAGAUAUUGAUUCCCGUAGGCAAAUCCGCGGGGAGAGUCGAACCUGAGAGUAUACGGAGCGCUUGCGCGACGUAAUAUGGACGUAACCAUGCUCCCAAGAAAAUCCGCUAAACUUAUCCAUGCGGCACCCGUACCGUAAACGGACACACGUGGUCGGGUUGAGAAUACUGAGGCGCUCGAGUGACUCACGGUUAAGGAACUAGGCAAAUUGACCCUGUAACUUCGGGAUAAAGGGUCCUCGUCGUAAGGCGAGGCGCAGAGAAUAGGUCCAGGCAACUGUUUAACAAAAACACAUGGCUGUGCUAAAUGGAAACAUGACGUAUACAGCCUGACACCUGCCCGGUGCUGGAAGGUUAAGAGGAGAUGUCAUCGCAAGAGAAGCGUUGAAUUGAAGCCCCAGUAAACGGCGGCCGUAACUAUAACGGUCCUAAGGUAGCGAAAUUCCUUGUC
rnacentral:rRNA from 1 species